GGCGGGUGUUUGCAGCUGGACACAGUUACGUUACGGAGAGAUAAUCCCAAGCAACAGACCUUUGCAAACUGUAUAGAUCAUCUUCCGCAAGAAACCUUUCUCCCUCCCCAGAAACGGGAACCUACCAAGCCCUAUGAUCAUCAUGUAAGGCCGUUCUUCAUAUGCCUUCUUCAUGAGAGGUCCGGAGGGUGGCAACAUGAGAACAGGCCUUUUAUGCAGUGGCUCCCUGUUUGUGGAAUGCUCACCCCAGGGAGAUUCACCUGGCACCUUCAUUAUACACCUUUAGACGCCAGGCUAAAAUGUUCCGCUUCAACCAAGCCUUUUGCUCAGUAACAUCCUGUACAGUGGUGCCUCGGUUUCCGAACAUAAUCUGUUCCAGAAGACCGUUCGACUUCCGAAACAUUCAAAAACUGAAGCAGUUACUUUCAGAAGCAUUUACUUACAGAAAACUCAAUAUAGAAGCCGAAAAGCAUUCGAAAACCGAAGCAGUUACAUCCAGGUUUUUGGCGUUCGAAAACCAGAACGUUCGACUUCCGAGAUGUUCGAAAACCAAGAGUACAAAGCUUCAGAAAAAAAAAGACGAGAGAGACCUAUUGGAUAUGUUUAUUAUAUGAGAAUAAGAAGAUCUGCAGCCCAUUCAACCAAGUAUGAAUGUGAAAUGUACAUGAAAAUAUGCAUGAAUUUUCAUGUGUACUGUACUUUAAAAAAUAAUGCAAGUGUUGUUGGAAAUGUGGAGAACUAAAGUUAAGAUUUUAAAUACGAGAAGCUGAAAUGGACACAUCCCUGUAUCCCUAAGGGAAGUAUCUCCAGCACAGUUUCGAUGAAGACUCUAUCAAGGUAUCCACGAGAUCUCCCUUUGCAGAAGCUGGUGCUUUGCCAUUAAACUGAAAAGGUCACGAUUCCAGACAAUGAGCUAUUUGUGCCGACCAAAAUGAGGGGCGGGGGAGUUGCCCCACAUCUGGAGACCAAAAAAAAAAAAAGGA